rnacentral:misc_RNA from 1 species
AAUUUAUUAUUAUUUUUGUCUUUUGUGCAUGUUAAUUGUGGAUUUUUAAUUGAAUUUAAUUAACUGAGGUUGGCUGUGGAUUGAAGGAUUCUUGCGGGUGUUGAAUUUGUGUAAGUGGUAGAAUUUUGGGGCGUUUUGUUUGGUGGUUUGGGACUGUUGGGUUUUGCAGGCAAGGAAUGGGCUUGCGUUGUUCUCUUGGAAAAUAAUCACAUCUCGUUAUAAAUAUCGCUUCCAGUGAUUCUUUUUCUUUUCUUUUUUAUUAUAUUUUUAUACAAAUGAGCUGAAAAUAAAUGGAUUUGGAAGUCAUAAAUUCUUUUUUGAAUUGAAACAAAGAUGGCAGAGAAGUGCAGAAGAAUGUGUAUUGAAUUUUCAUGU